rnacentral:rRNA from 1 species
CCUACGAGCGGCAGCAGUAGGGAAUCUUCCACAAUGGGCGAAAGCCUGAUGGAUCAACGCCGCGUGGGUGAAGAAGGUCUUCGGAUCGUAAAACCCUGUUGUUAGAGAAGACAGUGCGUGAGAGUAACUGUUCACGGUUCGACGAUAUCUAACCAGAAAGCCACGGCUAACUACGUGCCAGGAGCCGCGCUAAUACGUAGGUGGCAUACGUUAUCCGGAUGUAUUGGGCGUAAAGGGAACACAUGCGGUCUUUUAGUUAUGAUGUGAAAGCCUUCGGCUUAACCGGAGUAGUGCAUGGGAAACUGGGAGACUUGAGUGCAGAAGCGGAGAGUGGAACUCCAUGUGUAGCGGUGAAAUGCGUAGAUAUAUGGAAGAACACCAGUGGCGAAAGCGGCUCUCUGGUCUGUAACUGACGCUGCGGUUCGAAAGCGUGGGUAGCAAACAGGAUUAGAUACCCGGGUAGUC